CGACCUACUUAACUCAGUGGUUAGAGUAUUGCUUUCAUACGGCAGGAGUCAUUGGUUCAAAUCCAAUAGUAGGUAAGGUAUAGAU
rnacentral:tRNA from 1 species